CCGCAAUUAAUCUCCUUUCGUCUGUUUUACCAAGUGCGUUCCCAUAGAAAUAAAAUGACACAUAUUUUUAAGGAUGGCACACAAAACGAAAUUUAGCAUUCAUCUAGAUAUACGUUGGGGGUACAUUACUUGGAAAUACCUCAGAUGGGUUAUCUGUGGGACUACAGCCAAUCUAUUAGAGAUGUAUUGUAUUUUUGAGCAAAUAUUGUAUUCUCACUCGGGACAAGGCUGGUUGGGGCAGAGGCAGAGUGCACCAUCAACCUCAUCAAGUUCAUGGAGGGAUCCCCUCUCCACUUGCCAUGAGGAUCUCUCUCCUCUUCCACGUCGCCUGAUGUUGCCGCCUCCAUCAACAGUGGCCCUUUGAAUGGAUGGAGCCCCUAUUGUGACGCUAGUGACUUCGGGGACAACAUGCUCAUCAUCCUCACCACCCUUUUCGUCGCCUUCCUCUUUGCCCUCUUGCUCAACGCUACCAUCCACUUCCUCUUCUGCCACCCUUAUCUCAUACCGGUGGAUCUCAAGUAGAUGCUAUGUGCCGUCAUUGGCGCUCUCCAU
rnacentral:lncRNA from 1 species